AUGGCAAGAGAUCAGAUCUCGCUUUUAGAAAGUCAAGACUCAAGAUAGGGUGGUGCUUUAUUUGUUGACAGUUGAUACAUGAAAUGCCGACAGCUGACUCUUGAAUCCAAACCGGUGGUUAAAAAUCUUAAAAUCACAAGAAAAAUAUUUAUCCAUUCAAAUCGAAGGAUAAAAAAGGAAAUUAAUUUGCAUAAUUAGAUAUGAAGAUUCCGCUGGUGCAUGAAAAACGAUAAUCGCUUGCCUUCAAAACUAA
rnacentral:misc_RNA from 1 species